AGCAUGACAAACCUUUUUCAUGACAAACCAGUUUUCCUAAUAUCAAGCUCUACACCUCAUUUCAAGAUUUCAGUGUUCAUGCAGGGUAGGACUGUUUGUCUGUCUCACUUUUGUGGUUGGGAGGUUUGUGGUUUUGAGGUUGGAUUUUGUGUUGGAGUGCAGUGCAGCUCCCGCUUUACACUCAUUGCUCCCUCAAAGGAGGGUGGUCACAGUACGUCUUUGGUGAUGCAGACGAUGGGGAGCACACAUUUUCCACAGUACCAUCACUGGGAGACAGAUUACAACCCUUUAAUCUAACUGAGGUGUCACAAGAGGCAUCUAUCAGCUUUUUCAGCAAGACCAUGUACCUGUAAAAUAUAGUAACUCUUCUGAGUAGAAAAUCCAAAGUUAACUAGUGUUGAGCUCACUAUGCUGCCUUUGAAAUUAAUUGGAUUUCUACCAUUCCCAGCCAUUAGAGCAGAGCCAAUCAAUUUUCAAAUGGAGCUAGCAGUUUUUUCUACAAACAAUGAUGGUGCUUCUCAGGUCUUUCCUUCCCUUUUUUUCACAGCUUUUUCUCAUACACUAGGAGAACUGAAUAUUCUCAUGGUCCACACUCUUUCAGUGGGAGCAGGGACAAAAAGAACAUUUCUGUGCAGGAGGUUGCAACAGACAGUAGGGCAGGGCAUCAUGAGGCUUUUUUUCCUCAUCAAUCUUUUAACCAAUCUACCACCUAUUCAGUUCAAUAAGCCUCAGGUGGCAUUGAGGUCUGCAGGUCUCAGAUCCUUCACACGUGUUGUUAAGUGUCACAGCCAUUCGUUUCUGUCACAUACAAAUGUUCUGAAAUGUCAGAAGCCACAGACACAGAUGCUGGUGGCUGAAAAUUGCUGAAUCUGGUGCUGUGUAAGUGGCAUGGCCAUUAUAACAAUGAUAUACCUUUAAAUAUGCAGGUUCUAGUAGCAGUUUAGUACUGAAAUUAAGAUCAUUUUUGAAUAGAUGGAGCAUGUUAUGGCUAUAUUUAUUAAUAUCGUCUAAGUGCAGAGGAGAUUUGUAGCCUUUUGUUCCCAUAAGUGUUGUCUUAGUUCACUUGUGCUUUUCGGGGCUCUGUACAGUCCAAUUCAUGCUUAAACUACCAGAAAACAGUCUUUUGCUUAUAUUAAAAAAAAAAAAAAAAAGGAGCAGCUGCCAAUUAAGUGCUAUUUAUUUACCACAUCUCAGACAAGCCAAAUGGCUUCUCUUCUCUGUUUAACAACCUUCCUUUAUUGAAAGUAGUGUUUGAUUUCCCACUUCUGCAACCACCACUUUAAUAAUAUUAGGGGAGUGUAAAUAAGGUCCCACAGAUACUUUAGGCACCAUAUUCCCAACAGCUGUUCUAGUGGUAAAAUGGAGAAGAGUAGCAUCUUUUUUCCUGCUAGUGCUGGUAAAGCUAGACUGAGAUUGACAGUAAGAAUAAACCCUUCAUAGAGAAAUAAUUGGGUGCACACGUUUUAUUUACAAUAUGAAAUAAAUCAACUAAUGUCUUCAUUAGCAUAGUUGUGUAGUCUAGUAGUGGUAAAGGACAAAUCUUACAAGUUUUCCAGUCCAGUGAUCUUACAUGAUUUUUUUAAAAGAUCCUAAAUACUAGCAUUGGCUUGCUGAUUAGAAUUUCCAAUUGUGUUUGAUGCUAUCAGUGCUAAGAACUCUGUUUCCAUUACUAGGAAUUGUGUUUCAGUGGAAAUUACACUGGGUAAAUUGAUUCUCUUCCAUAAUAUUGUUCUUCUAAUUAAAUUUUUAUUCCCCAUCAAAAUAAAUAAAAUAUUUUUUCUUGAACAGGAAAUCAAAAUCUAAAAUAUCUACUUUGGUUUGUUGAGAAAAGGCAUGCUCUAUCAUGCUCAUUUUCAGUCCCAUGAAAGAAGAGAUGGGAUUAUACUGCCCAAGUGUCAUUAGCUGGUGAGGAGCUAUCCACAAUGGACAGUACAGGUGAAAGGCUGGAGAAGAUGAUGUUAUUAUGACUAGAUGAUCAUGUCUUCCUUUGUGCAUCAUGCAAGGUGCCAACUUGUUGCCUUGUAGGACAGAUAUGAGGGUGGGGGGAACAUGAUGCUCAUUUGGGAUCAGCCCACUUUCUCUGAUUUGGAUCAGGAUCUACUCAGCUGCUGUCACUGAAGUCAAGGGCUAUGUGAUAUCCCGAUCACCUCAUUUAGCAAAGAAAGGAGGGAGCUUUAUUGAUGAGGUUCAGUGGGCUUUUGUCAGGCUUCUCCCCCUCACAAGCUACCACUAAAAUAAAGGAUAUUGCAUAAUUUGCUGUGAAACCCAGAUCCCAAAGAGGGAUCCCUGAUGCUAUAGAGCUAAGUGUCUUAUUAGUAUAUUUAAAUUCUGAGACAAAUUAUUCAUUCUGUAAGAUUCCUAAGGAAUCUUUUCUUUUCUUCAUUUGCUGCAAAAGUCCAGACUGAAGACAACUUGUCCAUCUUGAUGAGUAAGAGAUAUACUUGAAAUUUACUUGGCAGAGGAAAGCUGUAGACUGUCUCUUAAACUGUUCAUUGCAUCACCCAUGUCCUCCUUUCUUCUGCUGCCCAGCCCUUAACAAUGCCUCUUGUAGCUGGUGUGGCUGAAUUGCUAAGUCUCACAGAAAAAAA